rnacentral:rRNA from 1 species
AUGACAGAAAUUAGCAAAAGGACACCUCAAGUUGGUAUGAGAUUCAGAGAUUCACAUGAGGCUUGGGUGUUUUGGCUAGAAUAUGGGGGUCACAUAGGUUUUGAUGUGAGGAAAAGACGCACCAACAAAAGCAAAUUUGAUGGAAAGGCGACUUCAUGCAGAUUUGUUUGUUCCAAUGAGGGCAUUAGACGGAAAGGGCAAACUGAUCGUGAGCCAAAACGUUUCAGAGCUGAAACAAGAACUAACUGUAGAGUUCAGAUGGUUAUUAGAUUGGAUCGAGCUGCAGAAAAUUAUGAAGUUACCGACGUAGAGCUGGAACACAACCACUACCUUCAAUUGCCACAAACCCGCCACUUGUUGGCAUCACAAAGGAAGAUUUCAGAACAACAAGCCUUCGAGAUAGAAACAACUGAUGAUUCUGGAAUUAUGCCAAAAGCUUCACAUGAGUUUGCUUGUCAUAAAGUUGGUGGGCCGCUGAACCUUGGUUACACUUGUCGUGACCAAAAGAAUCAUUUGCGAAGCAAGCGGCAGAGAGAGUUGGCUUAUGGGCAAGCC